UGGCAGAAGGAACGAUAUUUUAUUAAUUCACUAUGAAAGGAGAGUACAAUACAUCAAAAGGUUUCAAUAAAACUGACAGAGGAGCCUUGUAUUUAUAGUAUAAAAUCUAGCCCUAAAAGAGUCUCAAAAAAUGUAAGAAAUCUAAUGCAAUUUAGACUUUUAUUUGAGUCACACUUCUAACAAUUUCCACCUUGACUCAAAUUCCGGUGCAACGAACGAAGCUCCAAAAUUUCUCUACCUUGAGAAAUGAUCUGUCUGCAUCAGAAUAACCAAACUCCUCAACACAAUAACCAAACUCUCCACGAUAACACAUUCCCCCGCCUGGCGUCCAUAAGCGACACCCGAACCCAAACCCGGGUUCCCAAAAUUUCUCUUGGAAUUAACAAUCACUGGAUAGGGUCGAAGCACACCUUGUAGCAGAAACCACACCAAAUGCACAAUCAGAAGGUCCCUUACCAAUAUUUGUCACCUUCAAUGAUUUCUAAAGCAUUACAGACAUCUCUAAAAUUGUAUCUACGCUUCAUGAGUCCAUUGACAUUACAAGAACACAGUGUACUCGCUAAAAUUGGUGGCAAACCGAUCACCAACACUCUCUUGAGCAAAGUUCUUAACUGUCCCAGAGCCAAACCUGAGAGGUACUGUACCAAAUUGAAUGUCCACCACGGUACUGCACUUGUCUAAAUGUCUCUGAACUGGUUUUGCGCUCCCCUGCAAGAUGUACAACUGGGAUUUCCUCCGUCUUUCCAGUACAACCCGGACACCCCUUCGAACCUUCAAGACUCCACCUCUACCAGAAAAUUUAUACCCUUUUUCAUCCAAGGUACUCAGUGAUAUGAGAUUUUUUGUCAAGUCUAGAACAUGGCGAACCUGAUCAAGUGUCCUCACUGUUCCAUCCUGUGACCUCAAUCUGACCCGACCGAUUCCUGCAACCCAGCAAAAUUGGUUGUUUCCCACGACAACUCCACCUUACUUCACCGUCUCAUAUGUUUGAAACAAAGCCCUCUUGGGACACAUAUGAUACGAACAAGCAGAAUCCAGAAUCCACUCCUCAAGUUUGGAUUCCCUGUCAGAUACAGCCAACAUCACAUCUCCAUCAUCACAAAAAUUUUCAGCAAUAUUAGUCUCGUUCGAAUUACCUGAUUGCCCCGCAUGAUUUGCAUGUAAAUCACCUUUACCCUACAACUUGUUGCAAUCUUUCUUGAUGUGUCCUUUCCUCUUGCAGUAAUAACAAUACAAAUUGCUGUACUUCACCUUCGAUCUACCCCUCUGUCGAUCACUAUGAAUAACAAGAGCAUCCCCACUCCUAGAUGCAGGAUCUCCAACCAACAACUCCAUCUUCUCUUUUGAGAACAGGGCGUCGUAUAUCUCCUCAAUGGAUAACAUGUCACGACUAUACAGAAUAGUAUCAUGAAAUGACGAAAAAGAAUUGGGUAGCGAACACAACAGGACCAAGGCUAGAUCCUCUUCAUCAUAUUUUACCUCCAACGUCUCCAAAUCUGCAAUGAUCUCCUUGAACACAGCAAGGUGGUCCUGCAGUGACCCUCCUUCCGCCAUGCGAUGAGAAUACAACAUCUGCUUUAGAGUCAGUUUGCUCGUUAAACUCUUUGUCAUGCAUAACUGCUCCAGCUUGAGUCACAAAGCAGCCGCUGUCUUCUCCUUCAAAACAUCUUGCAGCAAAUUGUUGGAUAAAUGAAGUUGGAUUUGCGCUAAAGCCUUCCGAUCCUUCCGUUGUUUCUCCUCCAUAAACAAGUUUGCUGACAUCCUAUCAAAACCCAACAAAGCAUCAUCAAGAUCCAUUUGCGUCAACACAUCUCUUACCUUUACUUACUACAGCGAAAAUCUUGUAUUGCGAUCCAAUAGCGAAAUUUCAUACUUCAACGAAUUCAUUUCUGAAAAAUCUCAAUCAAAUCAGGAAGAACUUGCAACUUGUAACACCCAAAACUGAAAACUACCGAACGUGCAAGGGGCAAAAUAGUCCAAAACCACAAUUUUGCCCAAAAUUGAAAUUGGACACCACCACAAGGUCCGUCUCGUCGUCCGGAGAAAAUUGCCUGAAGACACUGUCGUCGAAAAAUGCCUCACGCGCCGCCACUCGUUCACCGGAGUUACCACCGCCGGCGACAGGUCGGAAAACGCGCCGACAACCUGUGACCCUUUCUGAACCAUUUCUGUCUGUUGAGUCUACUCGUGGUGUUCGUUUCUUCAAAUUCUUUCUGCUUUGACCAGAAAAAGCAAAAACAGAUCUAGGAAAAAAUCGAAAAAUUGGACAAAUUCGUUUUCUGAUUUCAUGGUAAUUUUCAGACGAUUUUCAGAUCAGCUUCAAGCCAAAAACCCACCAAUAACACCGCUUUGAUACCACUUGUUGAGACCGAUUCACCAAUAAUGCAGGAAUUGAGAUUUAAUGAAUUCCACUUAUUGUAAUUGAAGUAUUGAACAAUAUCACAAAUAAUCCAAGAACAAGGUAAAAGAAGAACUGGCAGAAGGAAUGAUAUUUUAUUAAUUCACUAUGAAAGGAGAGUACAAUACAGCAAAAUGUUUCAAUAAAAUUGACAGAGAGACCUUGUAUUUAUAGUAUAAAAUCAAGCCCUAAAAGAGUCCCAAAAAAAGUAAGAAAUCUAAUGCAAUUUAGACUCCUAUUUGAGUCACACUUCUAACACAUACUAAAUGCAGAAGUGAAACGUGAGCCUCUAAAACAAUCCCGGAUUAUAUAUCCCCUAGGCACAUUACUUCUUUUAAACAGAUGGAAAACCGUCAACUUUUUUGGCAGCUAAGCAUAUUGCAUCUUUAUGUUUGCUAAGAAGAGGUAAUGCAUCGAGAUGUUAAAUUGUAUCAGAGAAAAAAUGAUUUCAGACAACAAAUCUCAAUUCUACUAAGAAGGUAUAAUGUGUCGGGAUGCUAAACUGUAUCAAACAACAGCAAAUUUGGAAUAAUAGAUCUUAAUAUUUUGAACUAGUACAAAUUUCUUUUACCUUCCAUCUUUUGUUGGUGUCAACCAUAAAGAUAUAACUUGACAAAAUAGAGAAGUUGGCAAAUUGCUCAAACUCUCAUUCAUUUGAAUUAUUUGAGAGUAGCCUGAAGAUGCAGACUGCAUUUCUUCA
rnacentral:lncRNA from 1 species